rnacentral:rRNA from 1 species
GAUGAACGCUGGCGGCGUGCUUAACACAUGCCAGUCGAACGAUGAAGCCCAGCUUGCUGGGUGGAUUAGUGGCGAACGGGUGAGUAACACGUGAGUAACCUGCCCUUAACUCUGGGAUAAGCCUGGGAAACUGGGUCUAAUACCGGAUAGGAGCGUCCACCGCAUGGUGGGUGUUGGAAAGAUUUAUCGGUUUUGGAUGGACUCGCGGCCUAUCAGCUUGUUGGUGAGGUAAUGGCUCACCAAGGCGACGACGGGUAGCCGGCCUGAGAGGGUGACCGGCCACACUGGGACUGAGACACGGCCCAGACUCCUACGGGAGGCAGCAGUGGGGAAUAUUGCACAAUGGGCGCAAGCCUGAUGCAGCGACGCCGCGUGAGGGAUGACGGCCUUCGGGUUGUAAACCUCUUUCAGUAGGGAAGAAGCGAAAGUGACGGUACCAGCAGAAGAAGCACCGGCUAACUACGUG